rnacentral:tRNA from 1 species
GUCACUUUGCCGGAGUGGUUAACGGGAUCGCCUGCUAUUCUCUAGCAUCUCAGCGGUUGGGCUUUGCCCGCGAGUGUUCGAAUCGCUCAGGUGACG